AUAUAACGGAUGGAAGAAGAAGAGGACGUCUAGGGGUAGAUACGCUUUUCAUCUCUCUCUCUCCCGGACGUUCGUAUACUAGUUUGUAUAUAUACAUAGCUAGUGUUUACCCGGGGGAAAUGCAAAACGUGCGCAUCCGGUCGUCUCCGACCUUGCAAACGUACGGGAACAAAUUGAAGUUUCCAACUUGGCGUUAUGUACGAUGGUAGCGACGCGGCGGAACAAAUCCGGCCAGGCUAAAGACGACGAC